CCUACGGGAUGCAGCAGUGAGGAAUAUUGGUCAAUGGACGCAAGUCUGAACCAGCCAUGCCGCGUGCAGGAAGACGGCUCUAUGAGUUGUAAACUGCUUUUGUACGAGGGUAAACGCAGAUACGCGUAUCUGUCUGAAAGUAUCGUACGAAUAAGGAUCGGCUAACUCCGUGCCAGCAGCCGCGGUAAUACGGAGGAUUCAAGCGUUAUCCGGAUUUAUUGGGUUUAAAGGGUGCGUAGGCGGUCGGAUAAGUUAGAGGUGAAAUCCCGAGGCUCAACUUGGGAAUUGCCUCUGAUACUGUGCGGCUAGAGAGUAGUUGCGGUAGGCGGAAUGUAUGGUGUAGCGGUGAAAUGCUUAGAGAUCAUACAGAACACCGAUUGCGAAGGCGGCUUACCAAGCUACUUCUGACGUUGAGGCACGAAAGCGUGGGGAGCAAACAGGAUUAGAUACCCUUGUAGUC
rnacentral:rRNA from 1 species